rnacentral:rRNA from 1 species
GCUUACGGCCAUACCAACCUGGCUAUGCCCGAUCUCGUGCUGAUCUCGGAAGCUAAGCAGGUUUGGGCCUGGUUAGUACUUGAUGGGAGACCGCCUGGGAUACCAGGUGCUGUAAGCU